UAAAGCAUGUAAACAUGUUCUAGGUGAAACCCAAAAUACAAGUAUGAACCUGAAAAUGAUCAUGAUAUGUCCCCUUUAACGGAUGUCAAAUUAGUAUCCUGUUGUUUUCAACAUUCAUCUUAAUGUAUUCUCUCCCUACUCUUUGACACCCCCUCAGUUGAGCAUUUGUGUGUUUUUCAGGCGCUGUGUUCUCCCGCUUCAUCCUCACCGGCGUGUGGAAGAACCUGAUCGACGUGCUGUCCACGCCGCUGACGGGCCGCAUGGCGGGCAGCUCCAAAGGCCUCGCGUUCAUCCUGGGAGCAGAGGGAGUCAAAGAGCAGAGCCAGAGGGAGAGAGACACCAUCUGUCUGAGUUUAGACGGCCUACGCAAAGCCGCUGCGCUCAGCUGCGCCCUGGAGAGGUCAAAGGUCAGGAUCACAUACGCAGCAGCAGCCCAGGAGCUGGAACAGAUCCAAGUCUAAAUUGAAUUCGAGGCAUGUGUGUGCUUUCAGUUGCACCACUUAUUUUCAGCAGCUAAACAGCCACUCAAAGCUUCCAAUUGAUACGACUCCCCAAAAUAUAAUAUAUGACUGUGAAAUAUUGCCUUGCCUUCCUGUAAUUGCAUAAGAUCCAUGAAAUAAUCGGCAGCAACUGUAAAGUAAAGUAAAGACCAGACCGUA